AUUAAACGCUGGCGGCAUGCCUUACACAUGCAAGUCGAACGGCAGCGACGGGGGCAACCCUGGUGGCGAGUGGCGGACGGGUGAGUAAAGCAUCGGAACGUAUCCUGGAGUGGGGGAUAACGUAGCGAAAGUUACGCUAAUACCGCAUAUUCUGUGAGCAGGAAAGCAGGGGGAUCGCAAGACCUUGCGCUCUGGGAGCGGCCGAUGUCGGAUUAGCUAGUUGGUGGGUAAAGGCCUACCAAGGCGACGAUCCGUAGCGGGUCUGAGAGGAUGAUCCGCCACACUGGGACUGAGACACGGCCCAGACUCCUACGGGAGGCAGCAGUGGGGAAUUUUGGACAAUGGACGCAAGCCUGAUCCAGCAAUGCCGCGUGUGUGAAGAAGGCCUGCGGGUUGUAAAGCACUUUCAGUGGGGAAGAACAGGUUCGGGUCAAUACCCCGG
rnacentral:rRNA from 1 species